GGAAGAUAAAGAUAAGGAUAAAGAUAAAGAUAAGGAAAAAGAUAAGAAGAUAAAGAUAAGAAGAUAAAGAUAAAGGUAAGGAAGAUACAGAUAAGGAUAAGGAACAUAAAGAUUAAGUUAAGGAUAAAGAUAAGGAAGUUAAAGAUUAGGAAGAUAAAGAUAAGAAUAAAGAUAAGGAACAUAAAGAUUAAGAUAAGGAAAAAGAUAAGGAAGAUAAAGAUAAGGAUAAAGAUAAGGAUAAAGAUAAGAAGAUAAAGAUAAAGAUAAGGAAGAUAAAGAUGAGGAAGAUAAAUAUAAGGAAGAUAACUAUAAGGAAGAUAAAGAUAAGGAUAAAGAAGUAAAGAUAAGGAAGAUAAAGAUAAGGAUAAAGAUAAGGAAGAUAAUGACAAGGAUAAAGAUAAAGAAGAUAAAGAUAAGGAUAAAGAUAAGGAUAAGAAUAAGAAGAUAAAGAUAAAGAAUAUAAGGAAGAAAAAGACAAGGAUAAAGAUAAGGAAGAUAAAGAUAAGGAAGAUAAAGAUAAGGAUAAAGAUAUGGAUAAGGAACAUGAAAAUUAAGAUAAGAAAAAAGAUAAGGAAGAUAAAAAUAAAGAUAUGGAUAAAGAUAAGAAGAUAAAGAUAAGAAGAUAAAGAUAAAGAUAAGGAAGAUAAAGAUAAGGAAGAUAAAUAAAAGGAAGAUAACUAUAAGGAAGAUAAAGAUAAGGAUAAAGGAGAUAAAGAUAAGGAAGAUAAAGAUAAGGAUAAAGAUAAGGAAGAUAAUGGCAAGGAUAAAGAUAAAGAAGAUAAAGAUAAGGAAGAUAAGGAUAAAGAUAAGGAUAAGAAUAAGAAGAUAAAGAUAAAGAAUAUAAGGAAGAAAAAGACAAGGAUAAAGAUAAGGAAGAUAAAGAUAAGGAAGAUAAAGAUAAGGAUAAAGAUAUGGAUAAGGAACAUGAAAAUUAAGAUAAGAAAAAAGAUAAGGAAGAUAAAAAUAAAGAUAUGGAUAAAGAUAAGAAGAUAAAGAUAAGAAGAUAAAGAUAAAGAUAAGGAAGAUAAAGAUAAGGAAGAUAAAUAAAAGGAAGAUAACUAUAAGGAAGAUAAAGAUAAGGAUAAAGGAGAUAAAGAUAAGGAAGAUAAAGAUAAGGAUAAAGAGAAGGAAGUAAAAGAUAAGGAAGAUAAAGAUAAGAAUAAAGAUAAAGAUAAGGAACAUAAAGAUUAAGAUAAGGAAAAAGAUAAGGAAGAUAAAGAUAAGGAUAAAGAUAAAGAUAAGGAUAAAGAUAAAAAGAUAAAGAUAAAGAUAAGGAAGAUAAAGAUGAGGAAGAUAAAUAUAAGGAAGAUAACUAUAAGGAAGAUAAAGAUAAGGAUAAAGAAGUAAAGAUAAGGAAGAUAAAGAUAAGGAUAAAGAUAAGGAAGAUAAUGACAAGGAUAAAGAUAAAGAAGAUAAAGAUAAGGAUAAAGAUAAGGAUAAGAAUAAGAAGAUAAAGAUAAAGAAUAUAAGGAAGAAAAAGACAAGGAUAAAGAUAAGGAAGAUAAAGAUAAGGAAGAUAAAGAUAAGGAUAAAGAUGUGGAUAAGGAACAUAAAAAUUAAGAUAAGGAAAAAGAUAAGGAAGAUAAAGAUAAGGAUAAAGAUAAAGAUAUGGAUAAAGAUAAGAAGAUAAAGAUAAGAAGAUAAAGAUAAAGAUAAGGAAGAUAAAGAUAAGGAAGAUAAAUAAAAGGAAGAUAACUAUAAGGAAGAUAAAGAUAAGGAUAAAGGAGAUAAAGAUAAGGAAGAUAAAGAUAAGG
rnacentral:lncRNA from 1 species